rnacentral:rRNA from 1 species
UUAAGCGACUAAGCGUACACGGUGGAUGCCCUGGCAGUCAGAGGCGAUGAAGGACGUGCUAAUCUGCGAUAAGCGUCGGUAAGGUGAUAUGAACCGUUAUAACCGGCGAUUUCCGAAUGGGGAAACCCAGUGUGAUUCGUCACACUAUCAUUAACUGAAUCCAUAGGUUAAUGAGGCGAACCGGGGGAACUGAAACAUCUAAGUACCCCGAGGAAAAGAAAUCAACCGAGAUUCCCCCAGUAGCGGCGAGCGAACGGGGAGCAGCCCAGAGCCUGAAUCAGUGUGUGUGUUAGUGGAAGCGUCUGGAAAGGCGUGCGAUACAGGGUGACAGCCCCGUACACAAAAAUGCACAUACUGUGAGCUCGAUGAGUAGGGCGGGACACGUGGUAUCCUGUCUGAAUAUGGGGGGACCAUCCUCCAAGGCUAAAUACUCCUGACUGACCGAUAGUGAACCAGUACCGUGAGGGAAAGGCGAAAAGAACCCCGGCGAGGGGAGUGAAAAAGAACCUGAAACCGUGUACGUACAAGCAGUGGGAGCACGCUUAGGCGUGUGACUGCGUACCUUUUGUAUAAUGGGUCAGCGACUUAUAUUCUGUAGCAAGGUUAACCGAAUAGGGGAGCCGAAGGGAAACCGAGUCUUAACUGGGCGUUAAGUUGCAGGGUAUAGACCCGAAACCCGGUGAUCUAGCCAUGGGCAGGUUGAAGGUUGGGUAACACUAACUGGAGGACCGAACCGACUAAUGUUGAAAAAUUAGCGGAUGACUUGUGGCUGGGGGUGAAAGGCCAAUCAAACCGGGAGAUAGCUGGUUCUCCCCGAAAGCUAUUUAGGUAGCGCCUCGUGAAUUCAUCUCCGGGGGUAGAGCACUGUUUCGGCAAGGGGGUCAUCCCGACUUACCAACCCGAUGCAAACUGCGAAUACCGGAGAAUGUUAUCACGGGAGACACACGGCGGGUGCUAACGUCCGUCGUGAAGAGGGAAACAACCCAGACCGCCAGCUAAGGUCCCAAAGUCAUGGUUAAGUGGGAAACGAUGUGGGAAGGCCCAGACAGCCAGGAUGUUGGCUUAGAAGCAGCCAUCAUUUAAAGAAAGCGUAAUAGCUCACUGGUCGAGUCGGCCUGCGCGGAAGAUGUAACGGGGCUAAACCAUGCACCGAAGCUGCGGCAGCGACGCUUAUGCGUUGUUGGGUAGGGGAGCGUUCUGUAAGCCUGUGAAGGUGUGCUGUGAGGUAUGCUGGAGGUAUCAGAAGUGCGAAUGCUGACAUAAGUAACGAUAAAGCGGGUGAAAAGCCCGCUCGCCGGAAGACCAAGGGUUCCUGUCCAACGUUAAUCGGGCAGGGUGAGUCGACCCCUAAGGCGAGGCCGAAAGGCGUAGUCGAUGGGAAACAGGUUAAUAUUCCUGUACUUGGUGUUACUGCGAAGGGGGGACGGAGAAGGCUAUGUUGGCCGGGCGACGGUUGUCCCGGUUUAAGCGUGUAGGCUGGUUUUCCAGGCAAAUCCGGAAAAUCAAGGCCGAGGCGUGAUGACGAGGCACUACGGUGCUGAAGCAACAAAUGCCCUGCUUCCAGGAAAAGCCUCUAAGCAUCAGGUAACAUCAAAUCGUACCCCAAACCGACACAGGUGGUCAGGUAGAGAAUACCAAGGCGCUUGAGAGAACUCGGGUGAAGGAACUAGGCAAAAUGGUGCCGUAACUUCGGGAGAAGGCACGCUGAUACGUAGGUGAAGCGACUUGCUCGUGGAGCUGAAAUCAGUCGAAGAUACCAGCUGGCUGCAACUGUUUAUUAAAAACACAGCACUGUGCAAACACGAAAGUGGACGUAUACGGUGUGACGCCUGCCCGGUGCCGGAAGGUUAAUUGAUGGGGUUAGCGCAAGCGAAGCUCUUGAUCGAAGCCCCGGUAAACGGCGGCCGUAACUAUAACGGUCCUAAGGUAGCGAAAUUCCUUGUCGGGUAAGUUCCGACCUGCACGAAUGGCGUAAUGAUGGCCAGGCUGUCUCCACCCGAGACUCAGUGAAAUUGAACUCGCUGUGAAGAUGCAGUGUACCCGCGGCAAGACGGAAAGACCCCGUGAACCUUUACUAUAGCUUGACACUGAACAUUGAGCCUUGAUGUGUAGGAUAGGUGGGAGGCUUUGAAGUGUGGACGCCAGUCUGCAUGGAGCCGACCUUGAAAUACCACCCUUUAAUGUUUGAUGUUCUAACGUGGACCCGUGAUCCGGGUUGCGGACAGUGUCUGGUGGGUAGUUUGACUGGGGCGGUCUCCUCCUAAAGAGUAACGGAGGAGCACGAAGGUUGGCUAAUCCUGGUCGGACAUCAGGAGGUUAGUGCAAUGGCAUAAGCCAGCUUGACUGCGAGCGUGACGGCGCGAGCAGGUGCGAAAGCAGGUCAUAGUGAUCCGGUGGUUCUGAAUGGAAGGGCCAUCGCUCAACGGAUAAAAGGUACUCCGGGGAUAACAGGCUGAUACCGCCCAAGAGUUCAUAUCGACGGCGGUGUUUGGCACCUCGAUGUCGGCUCAUCACAUCCUGGGGCUGAAGUAGGUCCCAAGGGUAUGGCUGUUCGCCAUUUAAAGUGGUACGCGAGCUGGGUUUAGAACGUCGUGAGACAGUUCGGUCCCUAUCUGCCGUGGGCGCUGGAGAACUGAGGGGGCUGCUCCUAGUACGAGAGGACCGGAGUGGACGCAUCACUGGUGUUCGGGUUGUCAUGCCAAUGGCACUGCCCGGUAGCUAAAUGCGGAAGAGAUAAGUGCUGAAAGCAUCUAAGCACGAAACUUGCCCCGAGAUGAGUUCUCCCUGACCCUUUAAGGGUCCUGAAGGAACGUUGAAGACGACGACGUUGAUAGGCCGGGUGUGUAAGCGCAGCGAUGCGUUGAGCUAACCGGUACUAAUGAACCGUGAGGCUUAACCUU